GGAAGGAUCAUUAAUGAAAUGAAUGUCGAAAGGGGUUGUAGCUGGCCUUUCGGGGCAUGUGCACACCUUGAUCGCACAUCCACCUCUUCUCACACCUGUGCACUAUGUGUAGCUUGGGGAUGAUUACAAUAUUGGAAACAAUGUUGAAAGCCCUAGCUAUGAAUUUUUUAUACACCCACAUACAAAGUUAUAGAAUGCAUAAUAUUAUUGUGUGUAAUAGCACAAAUAAAUACAACUUUCAGCAACGGAUCUCUUGGCUCUCGCAUCGAUGAAGAACGCAGCGAAAUGCGAUAAGUAAUGUGAAUUGCAGAAUUCAGUGAAUCAUCGAAUCUUUGAACGCACCUUGCGCUCCUUGGUAUUCCGAGGAGCAUGCCUGUUUGAGUGUCAUAAAAUUAUCAACUGCCUUUUUAUGUUAAAGGGGUGAAGUUGGAGUUGGAGGAUAAUUGCUGGCGCAACUAAGGUUGCUUGUUGGCUCCUCUUGAAUGGAUGAGCUUUUCUGAUAGAUCAUAGCUCAGUAACACUAAUGUGAUAAUUAUCUACGUUAGAUGUGAAAGCUGUGAGUAGAGUAACUUAACUCCUAUAGAAAAGAUAACAACUUUACACAAAUUUGACCUCAAAUCAGGUAGGACUACCCGCUGAACUUAAGCAUAUCAAUAAGCGGAGGAAAAGAAACUAACAAGGAUUCCCCUAGUAACUGCGAGUGAAGCGGGAAAAGCUCAAAUUUAAAAUCUGGCAUGCCUUUGGCUGUCCGAGUUGUAGUCUGGAGAAGUGUUUUCCGUGCUGGACCAUGUACAAGUCCCUUGGAAUAGGGCGUCAUAGAGGGUGAGAAUCCCGUCUUUGACAUGACUACCAGUACUUUGUGAUGCGCUCUCAAAGAGUCGAGUUGUUUGGGAAUGCAGCUCAAAAUGGGUGGUAAAUUCCAUCUAAAGCUAAAUAUAGGCGAGAGACCGAUAGCGAACAAGUACCGUGAGGAA
rnacentral:sRNA from 1 species